UACAGAGGUGGCAAGCGUUGUUCGGAAUUACUGGGCGUAAAGGGCGCGUAGGCGGCCAUCUAAGUCAGACGUGAAAUCCCCCGGCUUAACCUGGGAACUGCGUCUGAUACUGGACGGCUUGAGUAUGGGAGAGGGAUGUAGAAUUCCAGGUGUAGCGGUGAAAUGCGUAGAUAUCUGGAGGAACACCGGUGGCGAAGGCGGCAUCCUGGACCAACACUGACACUGAGGAGCGAAGGCCAGGGGAGCAAACGGG
rnacentral:rRNA from 1 species